rnacentral:rRNA from 1 species
UACGUAGGGGGCAAGCGUUGUCCGGAUUUAUUGGGCGUAAAGAGCGUGUAGGCGGUUUGGUAGGUCCGCUGUGAAAACUCGAGGCUCAACCUCGAGACGCCGGUGGAAACCAUCAGGCUAGAGUCCGGAAGAGGAUAGUGGAAUUCCUGGUGUAGCGGUGAAAUGCGCAGAUAUCAGGAAGAACACCCGUGGCUAAGGCGGCUCUCUAGUACGGUACUGACGCUGAGACGCGAAAGCGUGGGGAGCGAACAGG